UCUACAAAUUCUCCUUCCCAGAAAUGUUUGUACAGAAUUUUGCAGGAGUACAAAGUUAUUUAGAUGUAACUGGAUUCAAAAGUAGGGAAAUACCUGGUGAAUGGGAUGUGCCCUCAGUGAUCCCUGACUCCUGGUAUUCAUGCCUGUGUGUAGUCAUUCCCUUUUGAGUGUGAACAGGACCUGUGACUUGCUUCUUGCCAACAGAAUCUGGCAAAGGUGAUGGAUAUCACUUCUAUCAUUAGGAUAUGUAGGAUCGUAGUUUCUGUCUGCCAGAAGAGUCUCAUUUUAGCUCUGUCUCUUGCUGGCUUUGAUGCAACAAACUGCCAUAUGAACAUGGCAAGAACAGAGGGAGACCUCAGCCAACAUCCAGAGCAAGGAACUGGGUCCUGCCAACAACAAUAUCCAAAGAGUUCCUGCUCAGAACACGUUUACUAAAAGACCCUCUCAAAGUGACAACCAACCGGGCAAGUAUCCUCAAGCUGCUUUUUGAUGAGAGAAAAGAAGGAAAAAUGGGUUUAAAGACACAUUUUAUAGAACUCCUGGUGAACAACUUCAAGAAGCUUUUCAAUAAAUUUAAGGUAGUACUCAAUAACGGAAAAAUUUAUUUCUACUUAGAAAUUGCUUUCAAGAGCUCAUGAAAAGGCUAAGCUGUUUUUAUGACCUUUAAAAUUCUUCAUUUUCCCUUCAUUUGGACCAUUUCAUUAAAGCAACUUCUAACCAGGUAA